GCUGGCCAAGCGUGGACUCCGCUCCGCCAUCACGAUCUUUGUAGAAUUUCACUUUCGUUAUUGUUGUCGCCGCUCGCUGUUUUUUCUGUCUACUUAAAGUUUUUCUCCCAUUGAAAUGGAAAACGCAGUGAGAGCCAUGGACUCCAACUGAUUUGGACAUGCCGGUCACGUGGGUGGUGGCAGUGGAUUGUUCGCGGCCAGAACCAGUUGGGGUUAAAGCUGGUUACUUUCUUAUUGAGUUGUCUUCCCAUGAUUCAUUAGAUGCGGUAUUACGACACCAGGGCCCUGAACGUGGCGAAUUAUGAACGACUUUAAACGAUUUUAGCAUAAUCAACGGUAGGGUAACUAAGACGAAGACCCUGCGCAGCGUUGACUUUCUCUCCAUUGGACAGUCGCCCCUCGGACAAUGGAGCUCGCCCAAGAAGGUGCCAAAAUAAGCAAUAACAAAACCUAUAAGCGAACUUAUAACAAAUGGCAGUGGGACGACACCAAAGAUUCGCACACCAAACGAUGAAAUAUUUGAAGCCAUUCUUCGAUCGCAUCUGCUUUAGAUGCCGCCACUCCAUUGACCAGGGAAUAUUGGGUUAUAUAACCGCUAGAUGAGACUAUGGUAACCAGAUCCAGGAGAUAAAUUGAUCUCUUCAAGUUAACAAAGAAUAUCUGAGUUUUAAAUUUUCAGCCCAGUUUGAUAUUGGAAUAUGUUCGCCUAAAGGCUAAAGGAAAAAAGCGGUUUAAUUCAUUCAAAAAAGGUACUUGUGUAAACCGUUUAUAAAGAUUUAAAAUACUACCAUCCAGAAUAUCCAACCAGCUCAUAA